GUCAUUGGGAAGAGGGUAUUCUAUGUGGAGAGUUUAAUCACACAUAUCCCCCCAAUUAUUACUGAAUCAGGAUGCCUAAAACCUUUGCUAUUACCUAUCCACAGCCAAGCUAAACACUAAGCUUUUGAAUUUUUGAUCUUUUGAUUUUAAUAGUUAAUGUGAAUAGACCCCAGUAAUUUUAUAUGUUUUAUAUAAUAAGAUCUUUUAGAGUCUUGUGGGUUUUUUGUUUGUUUGUUUUUUAAGAGAAAGGUUUCUGUAUUGUACUAGCAUUCUGCUUUAAAUAUGAGAUUUUGUUAUCAUGUUUUCAGAGAGAAUAGAUAUGUCUACCUAAAUAUGCUUUAUUUUGAAAUGUUAGGAAAAUGUAAUGAGUCCCAGACAGAGUAAAUUUUGUAAAUCAGAAUUUAUCAUUCUAGAAGCACAUGGGAAGUAUUGGAAUUCAUUUCGCUGUAAGUAUAACUGCUGAAGUGAGUCUGAUGUUUUCGAAGGCCAUUAAGGCCUUUUAAUCAUACAUUUUGGACUUAUGAGAAAAUCUUGGGGGUUAUUCUAAAAUCCUAACAGAUGCCUUCUGUUAAAAUUCCUGCAAAAUGUAUCUCUUCUUGUACUUUGAUUUGACUUCCAUAUUUAUUUAAUAAAAUAAAGCAAACAAGUAUCUUUUAUUAUUAGGGAAAAAAACAGAAAUAGAAGGGAUCUGCAGGAUCAUUUAGAUCUACUUGUUCAAUUUAUGGUUGAAAAAACUGAGAUUCACUUUCCUGAGUCAGAAAAUGACUUUCUCAACAACAUGAGGUUAAUGGUGGCCAGAAAUAGCAAUCAGAAACCUACUGUGUUAGCUUGACUAACACACCAAGCUUCUUUGGCUCCAAAUACUUUAGAUAUUGUGCCUUAAAUAUCAUUUCAAUAGUAAAAUUUUCCUCUUAGAUGUAGAUAUGCCAAAGAAUACGCCACAGUCUACUUUUAAGGAAAUUAAUUAUAUAAAAGAAAGGAUCGUAUGGUUAUUUAUGAAUAUAGUAUUUUAAAACAAAUAAAUUCAGCAUUAUUAUUAGCAAUAGAGUACAAUCACUUUGCCUCCCUAGGAGUAUUUAGUUUAGUUGUAGGACUGCAUUGUAGACAUAUUUUAAAUUGUUGAUUUUGUUCAAAAUUAGCAUCUGCUGCUGAAGAAUCACCAUGACUCCUCACUGAAAGGUUAAAGUGAAUUGUUGAGCAUGAUGAAGUAAGAGAAAUCAUGCCUACAUAAAUUUCUUCACAUUAUAUAUUUCUUCUCUAUAUCUUUAGGAAGUUCAAUAACCUGAGACAAAGCGGAUGCUGAAUGUGUCUCUCCAAAGGGUUGGAACUUUAAAACAUUUUGUCCUUUUCCUUUCAUUGGAUUUCCUUUUCUUACCCUGAUACUUAUUUUGUGUCUUAAACUUCUAUUAUGGGGUCAAUAUAUAUGCCACUGAAAAAAGGUCUUAUAGUUUCUCUUUUAGUGAACCGGAAUAUUUUUCCAUACAUGUUGAUAGUGAUACAGUAUAGACAUUGGUUUAGCAUGAUAAAGCUCUGAAAGUUGCCUUUGCUUUCCUAAUGAAGAUCAUGGCAACCUUUUUACCAUACUUGUUGUUUUCAGCAUAGUAUGAAACCCACAGGGGAAAAAAAAACCCAACCAAGUAAAUACAAAUAAAUAAAUAAUAUAAUUCCAUAGUACUGAGUUAGUAUGAUAACCCUUAUGCAGAAAAAUAGCUAUAGAUAUUUUCCCCUGCGCAAUCUGUCAAAACAUUUUGGGCUUCUAUGUGGUCUGUGAGUGAAAUUCAAUUUUCAUUACAAAAUCUGUUUAUACAAAAGCAUAUGCUCCAUUACUUUCCAGGAAAUAUGAAGUCAUAGCCCACUGUGAAUGCAUAUAAAGCAUAGCAAGUACAUACCAAUGAAAUCAAGAUUAAGAGGCGUCAUUAAUUAUUUUCAAUGUGCACCUGAAAUGAGAAAAGCACAAUAAUGAACUUGAGUUGUUGAUGUCAACCCAUUUCUCAAUAUUUAUUAUGAGUUAUGCCCAUCUUUCCAGUGGUGACAACUUCCCCAUGAGAAAAUGCCACACACAAAGGAUCUCCUUCAUCCCUCUCCAGAAGAGGAGAAGUGGAAACACCAGAAGUGUCUGGUGCAGAGCCCCAAUUCCUACUUCAUGGAUGUAAAAUGCCCAGAAUUCUGUAAAGUCACCAAGGUCUUCACCAUGUACAAACAGUAGUUUUUUGUGUUAGUUGCUCAACUGUCCUUUGCCAGCCUACAGGAAGAAAAGCAAGGCUUACAGAAGGACAUUCCUUCAGAAGAAAGCAGCACUAAAAGUACUCUGAAUUAAGAUGAAUGGGAAACCAUCCCAAUAAACACAUUUUGGAU